UCUAGAACUCAAGAUAUGAGCUAAACACUGAACAAUGUCUGGGUUGCAGGACAGAUUCCGACUUCUCUGUUGUUGCUAUAAUUGGAACUUGAAAAUGGUCCCUUUGAAUCUUGGACUCUUCAUGAAAGUUUUAGGCCUAUGUUUUAGAUUUCUUUC
rfam:Populus trichocarpa scaffold_1_contig_220, whole genome shotgun sequence.